CUGUUAGGGAUAGGAGGAGAACCUCGCCCUAACAUGAGCAAAGUCGAAGGCCCGAUUACCCUUAGACCGGAUGGGAGGAGAGGCCCUGCAAUGCCCAUAUGUGCCCCCACAGCCCUGUUAGGGAUAAGAGGAGAACCUCGCCCUAACAUGAGCAAAGUCGAAGGCCUGAUUACCCUUAGAUCGGAUGGGGGGAGAGGCCCUGCAAUGCCCAUAUGUGCCCCCACAGUCCUGUUAGGAACAGAAGGAGAACCUCGUCCUAACCUGAGCUGAAAUCGACUACAUCAGAAAUAAGAGAAGAACCUUAUCCUAACACCAACUAAGGUCCGGCCAUUCGAGAUCUGAUAAGAAAAAAGAGAACCUUCUCGACGGCCCUUCUACGCUCCCGCAAUCCUAUAAAAAGCUAGGGAGAACCUUUGCUUAAAAAGAGGAGGGAGA
rnacentral:lncRNA from 1 species